CUAAUACAUGCAAGUCGAACGAGAGCGACCGGUGCUUGCACUGGUCAAUCUAGUGGCGAACGGGUGAGUAACACGUGGGUAACCUGCCCAUCAGAGGGGGAUAACAUCCGGAAACGGAUGCUAAAACCGCAUAGGUCUUCGAGCCGCAUGGCUUGAAGAGGAAAAGAGGCGCAAGCUUCUGCUGAUGGAUGGACCCGCGGUGCAUUAGCUAGUUGGUGAGGUAACGGCUCACCAAGGCCGUGAUGCAUAGCCGACCUGAGAGGGUGAUCGGCCACAUUGGGACUGAGACACGGCCCAAACUCCUACGGGAGGCAGCAGUAGGGAAUCUUCCGCAAUGGACGCAAGUCUGACGGAGCAACGCCGCGUGAGUGAAGAAGGUUUUCGGAUCGUAAAACUCUGUUGUUAGAGAAGAACAAGUGCUAGAGUAACUGUUAGCGCCUUG
rnacentral:rRNA from 1 species